rnacentral:rRNA from 1 species
GACGAACGCUGGCGGCGUGCUUAACACAUGCAAGUCGAACGGAAAGGCCCUGCUUUUGUGGGGUGCUCGAGUGGCGAACGGGGGAGUAACACGUGAGUAACCUGCCCUUGACUUUGGGAUAACUUCAGGAAACUGGGGCUAAUACCGGAUAGGAGCUCCUGCUGCAUGGUGGGGGUUGGAAAGUUUCGGCGGUUGGGGAUGGACUCGCGGCUUAUCAGCUUGUUGGUGGGGUAGUGGCUUACCAAGGCUUUGACGGGUAGCCGGCCUGAGAGGGUGACCGGCCACAUUGGGCCUGAGGUACGGCCCAGACUCCUACGGGAGGCAGCAGUGGGGAAUAUUGCACAAUGGGCGGAAGCCUGAUGCAGCAACGCCGCGUGCGGGAUGACGGCCUUCGGGUUGUAAACCGCUUUCGCCUGUGACGAAGCGUGAGUGACGGUAAUGGGUAAAGAAGCACCGGCUAACUACGUG